CCUGGUAGUGGGCCGUUCAGAGCCGUCUGGAGUUUGUUACAGAGAGUAGUGGCGUCAGGGGUCGUUCAGAACCAUGUGGAGUUUGCUACAGAGAGUAGAGUGGUGUCCGUUGUCGUGACUUGGCAGAGAGUAGUGGAGCCAUGCGGAAUCCACUAUAGAGAGUGGAGUAGGGUAAUGGCUAUUAUCAUGACUUGCCAGAUAGUUUGGAUCUAUCGGCUGAAGCUCGGCUGGGACAUCUGACA
rnacentral:lncRNA from 1 species